GGGCCGAGGCCCCUCCUCCAAUUUGAUUGGCCCCUGAACGGCCCCUGUUCUGACAAUCACCUGGCGAGAAAACCAGAAGUGGGGAAUUUUUAAAUGGUCACUGCAGUUCCACCUCCAAACUGUUGGUGGCAGUGCGCCGAUUGCGUCAAUACAACUGAAUAGUCUUCCUUGAAAAAAAUCUAGUGCCUCCUUAAAAAUCUAGUUCUACGUGCCUCCUUAAAAAAUCUUUGUGAUGAACGGCUACCACUCCCCUUCCACGCGAAUCAAAGAGGAGCAACAAUUCUGUAAACUGAAUGCCAGCCAGCAACGAGAUGGAAGUUUAACAAGCUGACUUUGUUAUUUGACCUGUCCCAGUGCAGCAGAGGAGCCAGUGAAGAACAGCUGUGCUGUGCGCCACCUGGACCUGAUGACAUUUUGACGUCCAGAGCAUCCUGCCAUUCUGUAUGCACGUAAGAUCCUGACAAGAAAUUGUGCAACUUAUGCAAAAGUUAAAAAACAAGCUGCCUUAGUCAGUGAUUUCACACUAUCCACGAUCACAAGACAUAAGCGGUGAACCUUA